UAACUCGUUGUCGACGCCGCUUUUUCCGCUGAGUAUUAUAAUUAUAGUCGUUUAUUAGCUACUCUUUUUGGUGAGAUUGUUAAUCUCUCUCUAAGAGGUUGGGUUGACAAACAUUUCAUCAUCAUUUAUCAAGGUGGUAGCAUUGGCAUCCCAUUUGAAGCACUAUACUCAAAGGAUGGCAAGUGUUGAGUUGCUUGUUGCUGGAGUUCUUGGUAACCCAUUUGAAAAUCUUUGUUUUUCAAAGUUCAUGGCUUGGGAGGAUCAUAUGUCGCAAAAGUUUGGGAGGGUAAGUGUAACUCAUCAGUUUUUGCUCGUUCUGGAUCAUGAAAUCUUACUUCGAAAUCUCUCCUUGAUUCAUGUCAUUGAAAUGUCAUUAAACUUGUGAAUAUUUAGGCUUAUUUUUCCUACUAAUGAAGGUUAGAGGAGUAUCAAAAUUGCUGAAAAUUCUUUGGCAGU